rnacentral:rRNA from 1 species
GACGAACGCUGGCGGCGUGCUUAACACAUGCAAGUCGAACGGAAAGUCCCUGCUUUUGUUGUGUGCUCGUGUUGCUAUCUGGUGAGUUACACGUUUGUAACCUUCCCUUUACUUUGUUAUAACUUCAUGAAACUGUUUCUAAUACCGUAUAUGUUCUCCUUCUGCUUUGUUUGGGUUGGUUUGUUUCGUCGGUUGGGGAUGGACUCGCUGCUUAUCAGCUUGUUUGUUGGGUAGUGGCUUACCAAGGCUUUGACGGGUAGCCGGCCUGAGAGGGUGACCGGCCACAUUGGGACUGAGAUACGGACCAGACUCCUACGGGAGGCAGCAGUGGGGAAUAUUGCACAAUGGGCGGAAGCAUGAUGAAGCAACGCCGCGUGCGGGAUGACGGCCUUCGGGUUGUAAACCGCUUUCGCCUGUGACGAAGCGUGAGUGACGGUAAUGGGUAAAGAAGCACCGGCUAACUACGUG